AGUACAGCGUAGUUUGAUCAUGGCUCAGAACGAACGCUGGCGGCAUGCCUAACACAUGCAAGUCGAACGAAGCCUUCGGGCUUAGUGGCGCACGGGUGCGUAACACGUGGGAAUCUGCCCUUCGGUUCGGAAUAACAGUUAGAAAUGACUGCUAAUACCGGAUGAUGACGAAAGUCCAAAGAUUUAUCGCCGAAGGAUGAGCCCGCGUAGGAUUAGGUAGUUGGUAGGGUAAUGGCCUACCAAGCCGACGAUCCUUAGCUGGUCUGAGAGGAUGAUCAGCCACACUGGGACUGAGACACGGCCCAGACUCCUACGGGAGGCAGCAGUGGGGAAUAUUGGACAAUGGGCGAAAGCCUGAUCCAGCAAUGCCGCGUGAGUGAUGAAGGCCUUAGGGUUGUAAAGCUCUUUUACCAGGGAUGAUAAUGACAGUACCUGGAGAAUAAGCUCCGGCUAACUCCGUG
rnacentral:rRNA from 1 species